rnacentral:lncRNA from 13 species
UUAAUGCUGCAACCCGGAAUAAGCAAAAUGCCAGUUUCCAGUCAUUUGCCUGAUCAUAACCACACUGUAAUGCUGUCACAAAAAUGUGGCUUCUGCAGUGAGGGGCUACCAGCCUACUGCGGUGGAAGGAAGAAGACAUUUUAAAAGGUCAGUAAUAGACCAGGUUUUACACUUUAACUUCAAUUACCCACACCCAGGCAAGGCAAAGC